rnacentral:rRNA from 1 species
AACGAACGCUGGCGGCAUGCCUAACACAUGCAAGUCGAACGAGACCUUCGGGUCUAGUGGCGCACGGGUGCGUAACGCGUGGGAACCUGCCCUUAGGUUCGGAAUAACUCCCCGAAAGGGGUGCUAAUACCGGAUAAUGUCUUCGGACCAAAGAUUUAUCGCCUUUGGAUGGGCCCGCGUUGGAUUAGCUAGUUGGUAGGGUAAAAGCAUACCAAGGCGACGAUCCAUAGCUGGUCUGAGAGGAUGAUCAGCCACACUGGGACUGAGACACGGCCCAGACUCUUACGGGAGGCAGCAGUGGGGAAUAUUGGAAAAUGGGCGAAAGCCUGAUCCAGCAAUGCCGCGUGAGUGAUGAAGGCCUUAGGGUUGUAAAGCUCUUUUAACCGGGAUGAUAAUGACAGUACCGGGAGAAUAAGCUCCGGCUAACUCCGUG